UUGAACAGUUAAUUUCAGUUCAUCUAUAUGUUUAAUCUCUUCUAAUGUUUUGAUCUCGUAAGAUUUCAUCAAAAUGUGGACGUUCUGAUGAAAACAUCAGACUUCUCUCUGGUGACACUUGUAGCAUUUAGUCCAAUUUAAUAGCUUAAGCAGUUUUGUGUUGCGAGAUGGCAACUGUUUUGAUUGAUUAUGAAAAAGAAUUAGGAAAAAAUGCAGGUCUAGGCACUCAGUAGGAUGCAAAAGUUAGAUACCAGCGGCGCUCCAGUUCCCUUUUGUUCUGUUUUGAUUGAUCUAGUUUGCGCUGGAAUAAAUCCCGAAUCAAGUAUUCCAGACAAGGAUCAUGUGACACUAAAGUCUGGAGUUCUGAAAAUUCAUCUUUACCAAAGGAAUCAAUUACAAUUUGAAAUUGUAAACACUUAUUUUAAAUUGUAAUAAAAUUUCACAUUAGUACUGAUUUCACCGUGUUUGAUAAAAUAAAUGCAGCCUUUGUGAGCUUAAGAGACUUUUCAAAAUCAUUUAGAAAAUCUUACAGCCAUCAUUAGUUUAGUCGCCAUAAUGCUGUGGUAGUGUGUUCAUAUAUAUACAAAUAUAUCCUGUCUUAUUGAGUCCACAGAGAGAGAGAUGGCUAUGAAACAGAGUUGAGAGAGUUAAGGAAGAAGUUGGAAAUGCUGGACCUCACACACACAGCCCUGAUAAAAGAGAGGAAUCACCUAAAUGAGGAGAGAUCACUAUAAGACAGAGAAUGAAAACAAACUGCGUGAUGGACUGGAGCGCAUUCGAAGGAAGACCAGUCAUGAAAUCGAGAGCCUGCAGAGAUCUUCUAAAGAGAUGUAUGAGAGAGAGAACAGGUUCAGGCAGUUCCAGCUGAGUUCGGACAGCAGGGUGUGAACUGCUUAACCAGGUGAAGCUGAAAAAGUUUGAGUUGGAGCGUUCCCAGAUGGUCCAGGAGGAGACGGCCAGGAACCUCAGCCUUUGUCAAAUUGAGUGUGAGAAACACCAGAAAAAAAACUGGAGGCAAGGCACUUUAAAAUAAAAUCCGAAUGGCAAAGAUGCCAUGCACAUGAAACCUGUACAAAGUGAUUUCAUUUAGUCUCAUUGCAAGUUGAAACCUGUUAAUUGCUUAGCAGUUCAAGCUGUUAAUACCCGAAAGGAUUACUUCACCAUUCUGUCAUCAUUUACAACAACUUCAUGCCAUUUCCAAGCUGCAUGACUUUGACUUUUCCAAGGAACACAAAAACAGAAAUAUUGAAUUUACUGUCCGCUCUUUAUCAUAUAAUGAAGCAAAUAGGACAAGCUACUAUUUCAAGAUUUUUGAUACAUUACAUUAUUAUUAUCAGCUUUUCAUGUUGCAUCUAUACAUACGAUUUGCAUAAGGAAGAAAAACAAAAUUAAGUUAAGCCAACAUUCUUCAACAUUUCUCCACCUGUGCCCCUCUGAGUAAAGAAAGUCUUUAGAAUAACACGAGGGUAAGUGAUGACAGAAUUGUCAUUUUUGGGUGAUCAGUUCGUUGAUCAUUAACUUAUGAUUUAAUUCUUCAAAUGUCAGGUUCACAUUUAAAUAUAUAUUUCUUGUAAUGAGCGUCACACUCAAUCUCAACUCAUUUAGACAUCA